CAAAGGGCAUAUACCCUAAGGCCAAUGAGUAUACCUGCUCCUUGAAUGAAAUAGUGGAGAAUGAAAAAAGGAAAAGAGCUUAUCAUGAGGAAUAUCUUUACAAAGAGAAUGCUUCAGAUGAGGUGCCAAGAUUUGAUGAUAGCAUAAAGAGUGAUCCUAGUGAUUAGGAAGGAAGAGAAGCCACUCCUCCUCUUGAAAGACCUAGAGGACACACUAGGAAGUAUACUUGUGUCACCUUAACACUGAAAAGAGGAUGAGGACGUCCAAAGAAGAUGAAUAAUCUUCUAUAGUUAAGAGGGGGAGAGGAUGCCUAAGGAAGUAUUUUUGAGGCGAUUAAAUGCUAGAUUUGGAAUCAUAUUUGGAUUAGUUAACUUAGUUUUUCAUUACAUUAGUUAGCUUAGCUUUUAGGUAAUUGAUUUGAUUUACUUAGAUUUGGAUUUGUUUUGCUAUUCGAUUUUUAGUUAUUAAUAAAAGAGGGUUUUUUUUUUAAUUUCAAUUUAUGACUUUUAAUUUUUUUACUAGAUUUAUCAAUAGUAUAUAUGUAAAACUAGUAAACAUAAGAAAAAAUCCAAGAAAAGGCGUGUUGAGGUAAACUGGCCCUACGAACGAUCCUUAACUCAUAAAACACUCAAAGCCGAUCGUAGAGCCAGUUCAGUACCGAAGAGGGACUGAAAAUUGGACUUUAUUCGGUCCAUGAACCGGUCUUUUAUAAAUUCUUGAACUAGCACUAGUUCAUGACUAGACCAGUGUAAAAGGAGUUGUUUUAAACACCUUCUCUCUCAUUCUUUUCAAAAUUCUUUCACUCUCUUCAAAGCUUAAAUCCUUUCAAACCUAAAACUCAAAAUCAAUCAAUUUCUUUUAAUUUUCUUCUAAUCCAAACCCAAAUUUACAAUCUUAAACACCUUUAAACACAUUUAUUUUCACUUUUUAGUCAAGAUCAUCAAAAAUUGAAGCAAGAACAAGAAGAACCAUCAAAAAUAGGGGAUUUCAGCAUUUUCAACAAAAAUCAAGAGUUCUUCCUCCCUUCUUUUGUGAUUUUUGGUUGUUCUCACCUUGAACUUUUAUAACAAUUCUAUGAGGAACUGAAGCAAUUUGGAGCAUGAAUAGAUCCUUGGAUCGAUUUAUUGGAGAAAAAACUGAAGAAUUAAGUAUGGGAGCUUCAACUGGCUCUAGAACUGGCUCAAAAGGCCAAGACCGAUCGAAGGACCGGAUGACCACAUUAGGGAGCCACGCCACUAGAGUGAACCGACCCUUAAACUGGUUCACCAAAAGAGACUAAGAGGACCGGUAGGUAGGACCAGUUUAGAACAGAGAAUGAGCCAAGUGAACCGGCCCUGCGACUGGUCCUAAGAAGGAAAAGCAACUAGAACCGGUUGAAGACCAAAAUUGCACACUUUAUGUUUUAAAUCACAUUUUUAAAUGGUUUUUUAGGAUUUUUAGGCUAACCCUAGUUUAGACUAUAAAAAAAUCUUAUUCACUCUUUUUGAGGGGUUGGACAAUUUUUAGAAAGAAAGAAAUAUAUUAUUUGACAAAGUCAAGGGAAUCUUUUACUUCAAGAUUCAAAGUAUUGUUUAUUUUACCUCUUCUACAAUUAUGUUUCUUUAGUUCUUGUUUGUGUUUAUUGUUUUAUGAAUAUGAACAACUAACUCUUAAUCUA